AUGCACGCUGGCGGCGUGCCUAAUACAUGCAAGUCGAGCGAACAGACGAGGAGCUUGCUCCUCUGACGUUAGCGGCGGACGGGUGAGUAACACGUGGAUAACCUACCUAUAAGACUGGGAUAACUUCGGGAAACCGGAGCUAAUACCGGAUAAUAUAUUGAACCGCAUGGUUCAAUUGUGAAAGACGGUUUUGCUGUCACUUAUAGAUGGAUCCGCGCCGCAUUAGCUAGUUGGUAAGGUAACGGCUUACCAAGGCAACGAUGCGUAGCCGACCUGAGAGGGUGAUCGGCCACACUGGAACUGAGACACGGUCCAGACUCCUACGGGAGGCAGCAGUAGGGAAUCUUCCGCAAUGGGCGAAAGCCUGACGGAGCAACGCCGCGUGAGUGAUGAAGGUCUUCGGAUCGUAAAACUCUGUUAUUAGGGAAGAACAAAUGUGUAAGUAACUAUGCACGUCUUGACGGUACCUAAUCAGAAAGCCACGGCUAACUACGUG
rnacentral:rRNA from 1 species